UACAGAGGGGGCAAGCGUUGUUCGGAAUUACUGGGCGUAAAGGGCGCGUAGGCGGCCUGUUAAGUCGAACGUGAAAUCCCCGGGCUCAACCCGGGAACUGCGUCCGAUACUGGCAGGCUUGAAUCCGGGAGAGGGAUGCGGAAUUCCAGGUGUAGCGGUGAAAUGCGUAGAUAUCGUAAGGAAGACCAGUGGCGAAGGCGGGUCUCUGGACAGUCCUGACGCUGAGGCACGAAGGUCAGGGGAGCAAACGGG
rnacentral:rRNA from 1 species